rnacentral:rRNA from 1 species
UACGGAGGGAGCUAGCGUUAUUCGGAAUUACUGGGCGUAAAGGGUGCGUAGGCGGCGCGGUAAGUCGGGUGUGAAAUCUCGGAGCUUAACUCCGAAACUGCAUUCGAUACUGCCGUGCUUGAGGACUGGAGAGGAGACUGGAAUUUACGGUGUAGCGGUGAAAUGCGUAGAUAUCGUAAGGAAGACCAGUGGCGAAGGCGGGUCUCUGGACAGUUCCUGACGCUGAGGCACGAAGGCCAGGGGAGCAAACGGG